rnacentral:miRNA from 1 species
AGAAAUGACUCCAUGAGAUCCAGCUGUAAGGCAUUUUCUUAAUUAGUGAUCAAUGGGGGAGCCCAGCCCAUUGUGGGUAGUAACAUCCCUGGGCUGGUAAUCCU